CCUCUGCCGGGGCUGUCGCUGCGCGCGCCGCGGGGCGGGGCUCUGGGAAGGGUUGAGAGGGGAAGUGCGGGUGCUGGGUCCGCUUACAUGAUGGAGUCUCAGUCGCGGCUGAAACCAGGCCUUCGCCCCUUCUGCUUCAGCGUGAAAGGUCAUGUGAAGAUGUUGCGGCUGGUAUUAACUGUGACAUCUAUGACUCUUUUUAUUAUUGCACAAGCCCCUGAACCAUACAUUGUUAUCACAGGCUUUGAAGCCACUGUUAUUUUCUUUUUCAUAAUUUUAUAUAUACUCAGACUUGACCAACUGAUGAAAUGGUUAUUUUGGCCUUUGCUUGAUAUCAUCAACUCAAUGGUAACAACAUUAUUUAUGAUCAUCGUAUCUGUGUUGGCACUGAUGCCAGAAACCACAACACUGAUAAUCCUUGGAGGAUUCUCAUUUUAAUCUCAAUAUGGGAGCUAGAUGAAGAGAUUUCUGAACAGCCUUCCUGUGGGGUCUGGGUACCUGCUGUCCUACGUGGUCUCUGGAACCCCUUCCUCCCUGGCUGGCUGGCAGCCCCUACGGGUGGGUUGCAGAGAUUUUUGAGUCACCAGACUAGGCAGCAGUGAGGUUGUGCCCCUCACUACAUGUGCACUGAAGGUGGCUGAAGGGCUUAGCUGGUCCAUAGGGCUGAGAGCAGGGCACUAGGGUUCAGCGGCCAGCAGCCCUGGGGGCCGGCAGGGAGAGAGCCCUGCUGCUGCCACAGUACUAGCCAGAAUAGCAGUGGUAGCCUGACAUCACCAAGCCUGGAGGUCCACCAUGAAUCCUGAAAGCACCAAACAGGAGUAGCCUGGGGUCUCACAACACCAGAGGGAUCUACUGGAGGUUCAGAGUCCAAGCCCUCUGUGGGUCCCAUUCAUAUGGUACGUUCUGUGUGCUUUGUGCCUUCUGCACAUUCAGUGUCAGGAACACAGUGAGAACACUGCAUUGUCAGGGACACCUGCGGGAUGACCAUAGCAGACACAGUCUGUAUGCCAGUUGUCCAGGAAAACAGACGAAAGCAGCCUUUUAAAUCCAUGCUGCAGGCAAGGUCCAUACAAACUCAGGGACAGCUUCAAGUCCUACUUCUCACCCACUGGGAUGUGAAAGGUCCUGAGGAUGGUCAGCACAGAGUAGAUGCCCUGGCUGGGAGGAUACAGGCUGGCAUGGCCUGGGGUGGAUUCCUUGGGGUGCCACCUCAAGAAAGCUUCCAUACUUAAUUUCACUGCUCACUUUUGCUUUGCCUCCCCUCCAUCUGCCCCUGCCACACUCAACCCUAACCAAAUUUGUCCCCUCCCAUCUUUUAAUAGAUUUGAUCAAGAGCUAGCACUUGAAAGACCUGCUAAACUGAUAAAUUGUUAAGCCACUGCCUGGGCAAUGAGCAAAAAUGAAAAUGUAUUUAUUCUGUAUUGAAGGGUUAGGGAGAGGCAUCUAUGACCUCAUUUUAGAUCAGUAUUUUAAGACACUGAAGAAAGACUGGCAGACACUGUCAUUAACAGAAGGAAAUCCCCACUGUCACCCUUUCUCUUUUUGUAAUGACUUCUUCAGAUGAUGUGAAGUUACACAAACUCUAAGCUUGUAAAAGCCAUAAUUUUAGUUCUCUCAAAAAAAGGUCUGCAUAACUCCUAGGAACCAUACACGCUAUUUUUGGAAUAUUGCAACAAAAUAUUUUUCCUACCAAUAGGACUUUGACUUUUCUAGACCGGAGAAUUUUAUUUUAAAGACAGAAAAAAGGAGAUAUUGUAGGGUUUUUGUUUUGUUUUUGCUUUUAAGUACAUUGUACAUUGUCACAAGGGAAUAAGUCAACCCAUUCAGGAAGGAGGAAGGAAGCCUGCUUCAGUUGAAGCACUCAGUAGGAAUGCUCUGACUUACUCUUUACAACUGUCAUUUUUAUAGAUAUAGGAACUGUGGUUAAAUACCUUUCCCUGGCUACGAGGUUGGAACAAACUAGGACUCAAACCUACCACAUGCUAUGAAAGAACACCAGGAAUUGCAAAUGCUUGGAAGACUGAUACACCAAGAUAAGAGAUUCCCAGGGACAUUCAACUACCAAUGAUUGUCAGAAGUCUCCAUCACUGUCCAAAGCUACAGUCACCUUGGAUUCCAGCAGAGCCCCUGUAAAACUGACAGUGUACCAAGCAGAAACCCAUCAUCUCACAGAAACUGGAUUGAUAUGAACUUCUCCAGAACCGAGAUAAUGAUCAACCACACCCAGCUAACCCCAACUCUUUAAAGGCUGGUUCUGUCCCUUUGUUAAGGAACCAGAGUGACCCUCUACAUCAGAGCUGUGCCCCCUUCAGCUGCUCCUUCAGUAUCUUCUCUUACUUGCUGUGUGCAAUAAAACUGCCUACGCCUCACACUGACACAUCCUGAAAUGCUUUUCUGAAGAUGAAUCAAGAACCUAUUCUACAGGGUUACCCGUCUCCUCUUUGGGGGAACAUCCUAGCCACCCCCCCCAUCCAGUGAUAGAUAGAGAUAGAGAUGAAACAUCAGGCAGAAGUUUAGAAGCUCUAUGCUUGGAGAAAGCUGUGCUGUAUCGAGUGUUGAUGGGGCUUUGCUGUUUCUACAACUCAUCUCCACCAU